rnacentral:rRNA from 1 species
CAGCCGCCGCGGUAAUACGAAGGGGGCUAGCGUUGCUCGGAUUUACUGGGCGUAAAGCGCACGUAGGCGGACUUUUAAGUCAGGGGUGAAAUCCCGGGGCUCAACCCCGGAACUGCCUUUGAUACUGGAAGUCUUGAGUAUGGUAGAGGUGAGUGGAAUUCCGAGUGUAGAGGUGAAAUUCGUAGAUAUUCGGAAGAACACCAGUGGCGAAGGCGGCUUACUGGCUCAUACUGGACGCUGAGGUGCGAAAGCGUGGGGAGCAAACAGGAUUAGAUACCCGGGUAGUCCUGUCUCUUAUACA